CCACCUAUAUACUCCUUUCUCUGCCCAUCGCCGCUUCCCCCCACCCACUUUUCUCUGGAGCGGACCGACCUACCUACUCCAGCUCAGCCCGUCUCCGCUUCCCCCCACCCACUUUCCUCCGAGCGGACGGAGCCGAGGGGGCGGGGGCUCCCUCCCGGGAGUGUUUCUAGAGCUCCGAGGCAGCUAGUAGGGGUUUCAUUGUCCGCAUGUUUAAAGUCUAAUAGAAAAAAAAAUCUCUGGAUAUGAAGUUGGGAGAUAGAUCCAAGUCUACAUCUACGUCCUCAUGUUGGUGACCUUGGGGCACCACUUUCAGAUAAAAACAUAGACCUGAAUGGCAUCAUCCAGUAUCCAAGGAAACCAU